CAGCAGCCACGGUAACACGUAGGUGGCAAGCGUUGUCCGGAAUUAUUGGGCGUAAAGGGCUCGCAGGCGGUUUCUUAAGUCUGAUGUGAAAGCCCCCGGCUCAACCGGGGAGGGUCAUUGGAAACUGGGAAACUUGAGUGCAGAAGAGGAGAGUGGAGUUCCACGUGUAGCGGUGAAAUGCGUAGAGAUGUGGAGGAACACCAGUGGCGAAGGCGACUCUCUGGUCUGUAACUGACGCUGAGGAGCGAAAGCGUGGGGAGCGAACAGGAUUAGAUACCCCUGUAGUCCCUGUCUCUUAUAC
rnacentral:rRNA from 1 species